rnacentral:lncRNA from 1 species
CCGGGGACCGAGGCAGAAGAGGAGCGCGGCAGCGGCGGGGCGAUCCCGCGAGUUCCUUCCAGUGAACACCUCCUGGGGGUGUCCGGAGGGCUGGGGGUGGGCGCCGCGGCGCCUACAUUAGCCCCGCCGGGCUGCGCCCAGGCGGCAGUCGGGUCGGAGCCGCCGCCGGACUCAGCGCCGCGCGCGCCCCGCGCUGCGCCCCGCGCCCGGCUCUGCGCGAUCAGCUCCCCGGCGUCAGAGGCGCGCCCGGCCCUCCGGCCGCUCUCCCCCGCCGGCUCGCGGGGCGCGUGGGCUCGGCGGAGGCGGAGAGGGGGAGGCUGCAGGCGGGGAGAAGAGGCGGGCCCGCGGCGGCCGGAGCCCAGAGGAGAGUGGCAUGCCCGAGCCCUGGAGGCGGAGGUGGCGAAGCCGGCCGCGGGGAGACGAUGCCGCGGCUCCGUAGGGGAGGAAGGCGACAGAGAGCCAGGCGAGCCGGGCGCCCGGGCGCCCGCCGGCUGCGGGGAAGCGCGCGCCGCUCCGAGGCUCCGGCCUCCGCACCCCAGCACCCCGACGCUGCGGGCGACAGGGCCGGGCUCCGGCAGCCGCCGCCGCCGCCGCCGCCGCCUGGAGGACGGAGCAAAAGUUUGGAUCUGGGGGAGGACGCGGCGCCGAGCGGGAUUCCUACCGGGGCCGCCUGGAGACCUCCUAAACCUUCGCAGAUUGCAGAUUGAGCUUUACCAAGAAGCUCGUGGGCUGAUCCACACUGACCUGCCUGACCACGCAAGAGGUUCUGCCGGCUUGGUUGGGCCCCUCUUGGCCGUGGAUAACUUGGCUUCACUUGUUGCCUGGGUGGAAAAUUCUUCCUAUUGAAAUAUUUUUGCACAUGGAGGGCAACAGCAAAGAGGCCAACACAGGCUGAGCAGAUCAGAGACCUCAAGAAGAUUCUUUGACCUUGGCCUUCAGGACAUUUCUUCUAGUUGGAGUUCUGGACUUGAGAACCCUGUUCAAUUAUUUUGGUUUGGCUAUCUGUUUCUAUUUUUUAUUUCUAUUUUUUUACUUUUCUUUUCCCUACAGCAUCGUGU